CUCUCUUCUCAGCAGAGCAGCUACAGGGCUGCUUUUUGUCAGCAGUUCUCCCAGGCUGGCAGGACAAUUUGUGCUCCAACUCAUCCCUACAGUCAUCCUCUCCUAUGGGAAGAGCCACAUGGUUGCCUUUCAUGUUGCUUCAUAUGCAGCCGUGCUACAGCGCGAUACUGCUGACUUGAUCCAUUAUAGGACAAAUUAUCUUCAAUGGAGAUUACACGGCUGUUUCUUUCUUAGGGGAAAAUCUGAAGCAGAUGAAGCAGCUGUUAAUUAGAACUUCACCCUUCUUGUUGGGACUUCUUCAGCUUGGGCAUGAGAUGGAAUUAAAUGAGAAUAAUAAGCAGACUUGUUAUCUGGAAAUAUUAGGAUUCCUGAAGUACCCAAAUCUGAACAUGAAUGCCUUAUUCUCUUCUUCCAGCCAGCGUUUGCAAGAUUAUGCACAAGGCACGAGGCAUGACUGAGCUCCUCUACACUCCCACACUCGA